GUGCUCGCAUUGGCGGCACACACACUAAAAUUAGAAUGAUCCAGAGAAGAUUAGUAUGGCCUCUGUGCAAGAAAAAGAAAAGAAAACCAAGCCUAA
rnacentral:snRNA from 1 species